CAAACUAGAGGGAAUGACUUUUUGAUUGAAGAGACUGGGUCCACAUACCAGGCCACAGUUGGGGAGAAGAAUGAAGCUGUUCCUGGGAGUUAUUUUGGUGAUUUUGUGGCUUCCAGUGGACUGGGUAAGCAGCCAAAAGUUGGAACAGAAUCCACAGUCCCUGAGCAUCCAGGAGGGUGAGAAGGCUGUGCUGACCUGUGACUAUACGAAUUACUCUCCAGAGGUCUUCCAGUGGUACCCACAAAAUCUGGGAAGAAGCCUUGUCUUCUUGCAACUAAUACGUGAAAAUGAGGGUGAAAAACAGACAGGAAGACUGAGGGCCACCUUUGACAAGACCAUCAAACGGAGUUCCUUAUAUAUCACGAAAUCCCAGCCUGCAGACUCAGCCACCUACGUCUGUGCUGCUGACACACAGCAGGACCCUGCUACCUGCUUCCUGCACCCAAACUCUGCCAGCAACCUGGUCAACAGAGCUGCGGGCUGUGCUGACCUCGAGGGCUUGCCCCGGCUCCAGGCACGAUAAGUGGGGGCCCCUUGAGAGGAUUAAAGGGUGUGAGCCAGAGCCCUGGAUUGACCACGAGCAGGGGGCAUCUAUCUCGCAGCCUCUCGAUUCUCUCACUGCUGAUACAACUCGGUGACCUUGAGCAACUCAUGAGAUUCACAGGUCUCAGAUGCCUCAUCGGAACAUGAAGGGCUUAACACAUGAUUCUCAAGUUUGUCUCAGCUCUGAAAUUCGAACAGAGUCUAGUCUUUCAUGAAAAAAAAAUAUGCCCUGAAGAAUGCCAGAGAGUAAGAAAAGAGGAUUUACGCACACGCACGUGUGUGUGUGUGUGUGUGUGUGUUUAAGGAUAAUUAAUUCUGCCCAGUUUUUGUGACUAGGCCAGAACAGCCUGAGACAUAUACAGGUUUAAACACAUUCCUUUUAAACAUUGAAUGUAUAUUCCUCUGCAUAAAGAACAAGAACAAACAAAAACAAAACCAGUCUAAACAUUCCUGGGACCCUUCUAAACUGAACCCCAAAUAAUGAUGAUGAUGGUAAGAAUAAAAAAUUGACCUCUGUUAAAAAACAAAAUUCAACCAAGUAAAAUUGAAGAUCUAAUUGGCUUUGUUAAAUGAUUCUUGCAUUGAGCAGUAUUCUAUUCAGGAAGCAGAGGGAGCUCCGCAGAGCUGCAGGAAAGGAAAUGUUUUUAAAGGUAGAGAGAAGGCAUUAAAAAAAAGAAGAAGAAUUAAUUAGCAAGGAAUGCAGCAUUUAGGCAAGUUUGCCCUCCUAAGGAGGGAGGGGUCUUUCAGGAGACUGCCUCUAGGAAGUUCCACGUUGGCUGGUUAAAGGUCCAUUCCUGAGGGGUUUGAAACUGUAGUUAGGUUAGUUAUUAAAUCUUGGUUUACUGAUUUGGGGUCUUAAUUGUCUCCUUUAUGGCCAUGCGGUUUUCUUUUUAACACCUAUAUUCUUUGUUAAUUACUCAUCUUGUGAAGGAAGAACCAGACUAUACUGGGCAACAUGCCAUAAGUCAUGAGCACCACAGAGAUGGAUUUAGUGAUGUAGGAAAGACAUUAGGGUUUGAAGCCA